GCCAUUGCUAGACUACUGCUUAAGUGAAAACGCUGCGGUUUAUGAAAACAAGUUCAGCUCAUAUAUAUAUAGGAACUGGCAUGAUUUUAUUUUGCCAGUAAUUGAAGAAAAAACAAAUAGCACAUUGCAUCGAAUUUUAUAUGGAAGCUGUUUACUAGGAAAACGAUUUAUGAGUUGUGGUUCUCUCGUUUACAUGCCUCUCUACCUCCAACAGUAAAAGAUUCAAUUUAAGUUGAAGAAUAGCUGAGCAACUGACCUUUUAGCCUGCGCAUGUGUUGCAUGUCACCGGAAGAUGAACAAGUUACUUGAGCACUAUCAGUUGUAGAACGUUUGAUAUUGCUUAGGAUUUGUGGCUCCUCAAUACUACACCACAAAGGCCGAGGAAUAUUAAACUACUGCAGCCGUGGAGUAUUACCAAAAGAAAGCUGAGUACUAUACAACCACUUACGCAGCUCCAGCUUACUACACUGAUGCUACUCAAUACUGCACUAGAAAGGCACCCGAGUACUACACCCUACCGCAUGCUAUACCAAGCUAUUACAGUGAAGUGCAAUACUACACAACUACAUAUGCUACUCCCAGAUACUACACCAAGGCAAUGAGUACUACUCAGCUCCAAGUAACUACACUACCAUUUACGCCGCUCCCAGUUACUACACUACCACUUACGCCGCUCCCAGUUACUACACUACCACUUACGCCGCUCCCAGUUACUACACAGAGGCUCCAGCUUAGUACAAAAACAACGUACGCUACUCCCCGCUAUUACCCUGAGCCAUUGAAGUGCCGAAAGAAAGGCCAAUACCAGCUGUCGUUCAGGUCAGACAAAUCUAUCCAGACGGCCGAGCAAGGCAUGGUGAUUAUGGGCGUGAUGGAACAAGAAGCCGGCCGAUAUGACUGCCGGUUAGGAGCGGACACGCUGUGCAGUUAUAAUAUCACGGUCGAUACGCAGCGAUGCGCUGCCCCCAGCAAAUCACACGAUUAUCAGAAGGUCUACUCCGACUGAUGUAACGAAUUUGAGAAAUACAAAAUGGCCAUGAAAAAGUGGGAGAGGAGGCAGCUGUAUUGUAAUAGUCGGCAAACGAACGAUACCGCCAGCAGCAAUCAGAAUGCUCAUCCCAACGAGAUCUAUCCACGGAGUCCUUUGGUCUGAACAAGUUCCAAUUGAAAGAAGGAGAAAAGAAAGGAUCUGAAUUGGGAAUUGAUGUGAAUCUUUAAAAAGACGUGCGCUUCCGUUCGAUGUGCACAAGUUGGCUCAAUGGCUUUCUCUUCAACACACAGCUAAAAAUACAUCUAAUGAUGAUGUAUUGAAAAUGAAAAAAAAAUAUUGUGGGAACCACAUCGAGUGUUUCCUUCCUAUCUCUUUACGUCUCUUGUAUGUGUUUUUUAAACGAAUGUUCUUUUUUUCUAUCUCUUUUUAAAAAAAUCUGCUUAUCACUCAUCAUAUCCUCUUAUGCUAUAUCAUAUCCUCUUAUGCAGCCUUUAUACUCAUCCUCUUAUACUAUUUAUCAUGAAAAUUCCCUUGUCCUACAAGCUCCAUGACUGGAUAAUUGAGUGUUGUUUUAUCACAUCUCCUCGUUUCAGAAUGAGUAUUUCCCUGCCAAAUAUUUAUGCUUUCACACGUCGUUCUAUAGGAAUAUGGUUUAUUAGAUGAA